UCUCAUUUAAACGAUGUAUUCCCUAACCUCUAAUACAUCCUUGUAACUCUGAAGUUACGCCAGUUUUGAAUAAAUUUCAUAAAAACAAA
rnacentral:sRNA from 16 species